CAUAAUUCUAUUAAUUUAAGAAUAUUAUAUUCUGUUAUUUACGAAGAUAUUUGUUCUUUCAGAUAGUACAAUAUGAGUUUGUUCAUGUCGUUACUUUAUUCGGUAAACGAGUUCUGUUGCACAGUUGAACUUAACCGAGUUUUUUUUUUUUUUUUUUUUUUUUAAACCACAUCUAAGCGUGCUCCGUUAGCCCGGCAUGUGUUCCAACCAUAGACUGUAAAAAGUAGUCCCUACAGUUGUUUUGACGGUGGCUAACUUCUUUCUAGGAGGCGUUUUCUUCCGUAUAUUUUUCCUUGAAUGUAUAGGCGUAUUCGUGAGCUUUGGUAAGCUGAUGUAGUUUUCUUGCUAACAUUUGUGAGAAUGCUAACGUUAAUGGCGUUGCGAUAACAUGCCACCUACUUUUUUCUUAAUUUCUUUUUCCUAGUUUCUUUGGGUAGACACUCUAUUCAGGCAAUUGCGUGCAAUUCUUUUGAGAUAAUGUGGGGGAAACGCGAGGACUCGAUGUCAAAGCCAACAUGUUAAUAAAAGCACAACUUGGAGGAAAAAAGAAAUAUCUGAAACUGGAAGAAGUUAGCUUCGCAGAGUUUAUCACUGCAGUCCAGCAGAAGUUUCUGAUACCAGAGACUACACCACUGAGGGUCACAGAUGACCAGGGUGUGGAAGUUGAUGAGGAUGUUUUUCCAGACCUUGCAACAGCCAAAGAAAUAUGCUUUUUCAUCUACACUGAUCAAGACCUUCCAGUUGCUGAAGCAUCCAUGAUCUCUACUGAGUGUUCAGACCUGACUGAGUAUGUGACCCUCACUACUUGUGGUAAGUAGAGCUAAUGUAAAUGUCAGGUUUUGACUUGAAAUAAUAAAUAUCUAUUCUGGCAUGUGUUACACUUGUUUUAGCUGAUUG